UACGUAGGGGGCUAGCGUUAUCCGGAAUUACUGGGCGUAAAGGGUGCGUAGGUGGUUUCUUAAGUCAGAGGUGAAAGGCUACGGCUCAACCGUAGUAAGCCUUUGAAACUGGGAAACUUGAGUGCAGGAGAGGAGAGUGGAAUUCCUAGUGUAGCGGUGAAAUGCGUAGAUAUUAGGAGGAAUACCAGUGGCGAAGGCGACUUUCUGGACACAAACUGACGCUGAGGUACGAAAGCAUGGGGAGCAAACAGGAUUAGAUACCCGGGUAGUCCCUGAGCGGGCU
rnacentral:rRNA from 1 species